UUAAUGUUGAUUUUUGAUGACUUAAUAUGGGUUAAUGUUAAUUUUUUAUGAUACAAGGUAUAUGUAGCAUACUAAGUGAUGUUAGAAAAGAGGAAAGAUAAAAAAUAACACUUGGUCACCUUGGUUCACCGUGACGUUGUGACAACUAUGAUUGGGAUUCCAUAUAUUGGCCAUAAACAACUACAAAGCAAGGAUUCAAAGCCUCAAGGCCCUCAACUCAUUUUUUUUUUUUUUUAAGAACAUCACAUUUUGAACUAUUUCAAUUGAAUAUAUUUGUCUCUCAGUAUGAUACUCUCCAUUUCAAUGUUUAUGCAUAAUACAUGUUAUAUAUAGCUUUUUAAACUUUUUUUAUGCAGUGCAAAAAAAAGUGUUACCUAUCCAUUUAUGUGCGUACCUUAAACUAUCUCCGAUACAUAUCUUAAUUUUGGUUGGCCAAUACAACGACCAAUACUUAAUCCUUGGUAGGGUUGAUCUCCUCUCUAAGGGUGAGGAGGGUCUCCUCAAGAAAUCAACUGAAUCUAAGGAAGGGAUCCCAAAAAUCGAUGGACUCAAGGUUUUGGAGAAAAAACCCUGAUUCUUGGAAAUCGCAGAUGUGAUGAUCUUCAAUAUUGUAAGCAAUGAGUUCUUCCAAAUUGUUGUACUUGAUCUUCAAGAGGUGGAGAUUUGAUCUUAAAAGUAGGAAGAAUCAAACCUCAAGAAGAGAAGAAAAAAAAAUCGAAGAGAGGGUAGAACCCUAAGCGAUUCUUGCAGGGCUUUAGGGUUUAUAGCAUUGAGGUAGUGUGUAGGAGAGCAACUAGAUUCAUAUGAAUCACCUUAUUAGUGCUGCCCUGCGAGGAAUUAUGGAGAGAAAGGAAGAGAAGAAGGUGGAGGGUGAGAGAGGAUGGAGGCUUGUGAUACGGGGAAAGAGAGAAAAAUGAGGCUGAAAACCUAGAUCAGAAAAUUUGGCUCUGAUACCAUUGUUAACAACAAAACUAGGGUAGAAUGUCUGAAUGAUCAAUGAGACCACACAAGCCUUUAUUUCUAAGAAGCAAAGGAGAAGCAAAAUUACAAGUAUGCCCACCCUUCAACCGACUCAUUAAUUAGAGUCGAUGUAAGGGGGGAAAGGCAGGAACGCCAUUGCGGCACCCUUAGUUACAUAUAUCAACAUUUACAAAUGCACAACAGGAAUUCAAUAAUUAUGCAAAAAAAAUAGUCAAUGUGCUUAGUCCAUACAAUGGUGAAAUAUCAGUAUCAGACCAUUGAUUUGGACCCUCUGAUCCAUAUCGGUGUGAGACUGGACCAACUUUCUCUCUCCUAGCUAGUGGAUCAACCAAUUCAGUAGUAUCUCAGACUUUUACACACUGGAUUGGGAAAUAUUUUGUUUGGAUUGUCCCAUCCAGUCGAGUUGUAAUGUAGACAAAUCCCAAACAGGAUUAGAACAAAGAAUAUAGGAUGUGGAACUAAUAGAGCAGACUAUGAGACUAGAUCUAAGAGAAAACAGAAGAAUUGAUAAGAACAGGACAGUAAUCCACCAAAUCCAUGAAGAAAAUCCACUCUUCCACUGAGGAAUCCACCAAGCACACUACUGAUUCCACAGCAGCAAAAUUCAGGAAAACUGAAUUACUGUAUUACUUCCAAUCAUUAGGGGGCAUAGGCGUUUACAUUUGUUUAUAGUGUAAGCUAACCCAAACAGGAUAGCAUAAAGACUGAUUACGAUUAACCUUAUUCAAAAGAAAAUUAUAAAAAACAGCCACCUAUUUUACUAAAAGACUGCCACCAGGAAAACAUUCCACCUAAUCUAUCCAAGAUAAAAUAAAAAAUAGUAACAGAUUUUAAAAAGGGGAAAAAAAUCUAAAACCCCAACUUAACUAACAAAUAAAUCAUGUAUUCCUAACUCCUACAAAAAAAAAAAAAAAAAGCCCCUUAGACAAAGGCCCAACACAUAUGUAAUGCAACACAAGGCUUAUUUCCACCAUUCCUCAGUUUUAAUUUACCUCAUAUCUCAGUAUAUAUUCUUCUAGACACCCCCCCCCAACCCUCUUCAUAAAUUCCUAGCUUGACUACAGACCCACUAUCCAAAUUUAGCUCCAAUCACCCUCCUCCAGAAGGUGAAAGAUUCAAAGCAUCCAGUUGUCCGGGUUUUGAUUAUAAUGUUCACUAGAGUGAAAACAAGAUUCAACAAAAUGCUCAAUCCACAUCCGGAAAACAGAAAAAUGAUAGUCUAAAGAAAGAAGAGGGCUCGUGCCCAACACUACAUCUUCAAGGCCACUUACAAAAUAGGAUUUAACCCAUAUAAUAUGCACUGGCUUAAUACGGUGUUAAGGAAUUAAGCAUUAAGUGGUACCCGCAGGGGUAUUUCAGUCUUAGAUAAUUUCUGUUUUGUAUUUUAUGUGUGAGUGCACUUAUGUCAAGGGUAAUUUGUAAUUUAUUUUGUUUUAAUUAUUAUGAAUACAUAAUGUGACAACCGGUUGUCAUUAUUCUCUUCUCUCCCAAUCUCUCUCUCUCUCAGUGUGAUCCCAAUCGUAUAUUCUAACCUGCAGAUGAUAUAUAGUUAUACUGAUACUGUGUUGCUGUUUUUUGAGGUAUUUGGGAAUAUAAGCAUGCUGGAAUAAGGGGCGCUUGGCCCAACGGUAAGGUACGAAUGUUGUGACCUGGUGGUCAAGCGGUCAAAACAGCCUCUUGGCAUUCUCCGGAUAAGGCUGCAUACUUCUCGGCCCCCCCUGGACCUCACACAUGCGGGAGCCUCGUGCACCGGCUACGCCCCCUUUUUUUUUAAGCAUGCUGGAAUAAUUCUGAUCAGUGGUGUCCGAGGUUCUGGAUUCCCUAGGAGGGGUCGAGGUUCAAGGGAAAGUUGAGGACGUUGUACUGGUAGAGGUCGAGAUCAGCAACCUGGACAGAAAACAGACCAAGCCUUACGACUGUGUACUCACUGCAGCAAGGUCAAUCAUACUGUUGACAAAUGUUGGAUAAAGUAUGGCAAACUGAGGGCAUAACAACAAUUUGCCAACUCCUCAGCAACUGACGAGAAUUCUGACAUGGUGUUGUCUAAAGAAACUAAUCUUGAUUCUUCAUCUAGAGGUAGUCAGUCGGCUUCCACAUUUCGUAAUGAUCUAAUAAGUCAGUAACUAAAACAUGUCCAGCAGUUUGAGCCAUCCACUACUACAUUAGCCCAUUCAAGUACUGCUGUGCUUCUCGCCUCUUCAUCUUCUACCACUUGGGUUAUUGGUUCAGACACUUCAUCUCAUAUGACUGGGGGCACUCUGUCUGGACUCAAUCUUGGCAAACGAGCAGGAGAGGUUCGAGCAAACCUACAAGUGAAAUUUGGACCCCACUAGGUCCACUACAUGAAAGAUAUGGCUUGCUUAUGUUCAGAAGGAAGGUAAUCUGGUAGUGUUGCAUCUGCACACCCAAUAAUCAAAUUCAGAAAGCUCAAGAUCGGCAGUGAUGGCGGAAGACAACCAACACAAAUGCCAAACAUACAACAGUGCGACCAAACAUGGGUAAAUUCUUUUGAGAUACCCUUCUGAGUGGCUGCUGUCAAAUGUAUUCCUGGUUG